UAAGGUAUGUUCAUUAUGAAAGCUUGGAUAUUUUAUAUUUUUUAAAAGGAAAAUAAGUGAAUUUCUUACUAGUAUUUGAUACCCAAGAAACAUUUUGGGUAUCAGAGUUCCCUCGGGCCUCUAACAUUUCAACCACAUUAGUUCUCACAAAGACAUACUGCCAGUGGGAAGCUGACAUCUAAAGUUCCAAUAACGGGCUACAUAUGGAAACUCUAAACACCAUAUCUUGCCUUCGGAGGGAAGGCAACAACACAUACCCAGUGCAAUCCCACGAGUAGGAUCGGGGUAGGGUAGGAUCUACACAGACCUUACCUGUUACCUUCGGAGGGAAGGCUUAUGUCCAUAUUUUUUUACACUUCAUAGUGCUGAUAUCAUAAUUAUGAUUAGCUUCACACCGUAGAGCUGAAGAAACCUCUAGAAUAGCUCAUUACUUUCCUUCUGAUUAAACUACGUCUUCAGUGGAGCCUUUUUCUCUCUGUCAGAUAUCCGAACAGGAGCAUUAGAAUGUGAUUUGAA
rnacentral:misc_RNA from 1 species